rnacentral:rRNA from 1 species
CUACGGGUGGCAGCAGUGGGGAAUAUUGGGCAAUGGGCGCAAGCCUGACCCAGCAACGCCGCGUGAGGGAAGAAGGUUUUCGGAUUGUAAACCUCUGUCCUUGGGGACGAAGAAGUGACGGUACCCAAGGAGGAAGCUCCGGCUAACUACGUGCCAGCAGCCGCGGUAAUACGUAGGGAGCAAGCGUUGUCCGGAAUUACUGGGCGUAAAGGGUGCGUAGGCGGCAUAUUAAGUCAGGUGUGAAAUACUCGGGCUCAACCCGAGGGGUGCAUUUGAAACUGAUAAGCUUGAGUGUGAGAGAGGAAAGUGGAAUUCCUAGUGUAGCGGUGGAAUGCGUAGAUAUUAGGAGGAACACCAGUGGCGAAGGCGACUUUCUGGCUCAUAACUGACGCUGAGGCACGAAAGCGUGGGGAGCAAACAGGAUUAGAUACCCGGGUAGUC